CGGCGUGCUUGAUACAUGCAAGUCGAACGGUCGAGCAUAAAGAAGAAGGUAGUGAGCGGGUAGCGGGUGAGAAAUCAUUCAAAGCCCGUGAGCUACUGGGAGCUUGGCGCUUGGCAGUGGCGGACGGGUGAGUAACACGUAGGAAUCCUGCCCCGAGGUGGGGAAUAACUGACCGAAAGGUUAGCUAAUACCGCAUAAGAUCCGAGAGGAUGAAAGGCGCGAGUCGCCUUGGGAUGAGCCUGCGUCCGAUUAGCUAGUUGGUGGGGUAACGGCCCACCAAGGCAGAGAUCGGUAGCUGAUCUGAGAGGAUGAUCAGCCACACUGGAACUGAGAAACGGUCCAGACUCCUACGGGAGGCAGCAGUAAGGGAUAUUGCACAAUGGGCGAAAGCUUGAUGCAGCAACGCCGCGUGCGCGACGAAGGCCUUCGGGUCGUAAAGCGCUUUUCCAGGGGAAGAGGAAGGACAGUACCCUGGGAAUAAGUCUCGGCUAACUACGUG
rnacentral:rRNA from 1 species